rfam:Schistosoma curassoni strain Dakar, Senegal genome assembly, scaffold: SCTD_contig0000481
AUCCGGCUGACGAGUCUCAAACAGGACGAAACGCGCUUCCUGGAU